rnacentral:tRNA from 1 species
GAUCGCGUAGCUCAGCCGGUAGAGCAACUGACUUUUAAUCAGUAGGUCGAGAGUUCGAAUCUCUCCGCGAUCACCA